GAGCCAGGAGGCCUACGCAAUGGUUCAGAAAGAGUGCUGUCAAAAGAAAACACGAAUAUACAUUUUCUUUGGGAAUGGUGGACAUGAAGAUGGAACCUGA
rnacentral:lncRNA from 1 species